ensembl:snRNA U2 U2 spliceosomal RNA
AUCGCCUCUCGGCCUUUUGGCUAAGAUCAAGUGUAGUGUCUGUUCCGGGGGUAGUUGUGGGCUGGAGGUUAGGGAACUGUCCCUGUGACCAGAAGGUUGCUGGUUCGAUCCCCU